rnacentral:rRNA from 1 species
UCCUACGGGAGGCAGCAGUGAGGAAUAUUGGUCAAUGGGCGGAAGCCUGAACCAGCCAAGUCGCGUGAGGGAAUAAGGCCCUACGGGUCGUAAACCUCUUUUGCCGGGGAGCAAGGGCGGGGACGUGUCCCGGCCCGGAGAGUACCCGGAGAAAAAGCAUCGGCUAACUCCGUGCCAGCAGCCGCGGUAAUACGGAGGAUGCGAGCGUUAUCCGGAUUUAUUGGGUUUAAAGGGUGCGUAGGCGGGUUAUCAAGUCAGCGGUAAAAUCGUGGAGCUCAACUCCAUCCAGCCGUUGAAACUGAUGA